CAGUAGCCGCGGGAAUACGUAGGUGGCAAGCGUUGUCCGGAAUUAUUGGGCGUAAAGGGCUCGCAGGCGGUUUCUUAAGUCUGAUGUGAAAGCCCCCGGCUCAACCGGGGAGGGUCAUUGGAAACUGGGAAACUUGAGUGCAGAAGAGGAGAGUGGAAUUCCACGUGUAGCGGUGAAAUGCGUAGAGAUGUGGAGGAACACCAGUGGCGAAGGCGACUCUCUGGUCUGUAACCGACGCUGAGGAGCGAAAGCGUGGGGAGCGAACAGGAUUAGAUACCCCAGUAGUCCCUGUCUCUUAUAA
rnacentral:rRNA from 1 species